rnacentral:snRNA from 1 species
AACAGUAAUAAUAAGUUGGAAUGAUGCAGAGAUUAAAUUAGCCCCUGUGCAAGGAUGACAUGCAAAUUUGUGAAGCAUACCAUAUUUUU